rnacentral:rRNA from 1 species
UACGGAGGUCUCAAGCGUUGUUCGGAUUCAUUGGGCGUAAAGGGUGCGUAGGUGGCGGUAUAAGUCUGGUGUGAAAUCUUGGGGCUCAACCCCGAAACUGCAUUGGAUACUAUAUCGCUAGAGGAUUGCAGAGGAGAGUGGAAUUCAUGGUGUAGCAGUGAAAUGCGUAGAUAUCAUGAGGAAGACCAGUUGCGAAGGCGACUCUCUGGGCAAUUCCUGACACUGAGGCACGAAGGCUAGGGGAGCGAACGGG